GGAUAACUCCGGGAAACCGGAGCUAAUACCGGAUAGUUCCUUGAACCGCAUGGUUCAAGGAUGAAAGACGGUUUCGGCUGUCACUUACAGAUGGACCCGCGGCGCAUUAGCUAGUUGGUGAGGUAACGGCUCACCAAGGCGACGAUGCGUAGCCGACCUGAGAGGGUGAUCGGCCACACUGGGACUGAGACACGGCCCAGACUCCUACGGGAGGCAGCAGUAGGGAAUCUUCCGCAAUGGACGAAAGUCUGACGGAGCAACGCCGCGUGAGUGAUGAAGGUUUUCGGAUCGUAAAGCUCUGUUGUUAGGGAAGAACAAGUGCAAGAGUAACUGCUUGCACCUUGACGGUACCUAACCAGAAAGCCACGGCUAACUACGUGCCAGCAGCCGCGGUAAUACGUAGGUGGCAAGCGUUGUCCGGAAUUAUUGGGCGUAAAGGGCUCGCAGGCGGUUUCUUAAGUCUGAUGUGAAAGCCCCCGGCUCAACCGGGGAGGGUCAUUGGAAACUGGGAAACUUGAGUGCAGAAGAGGAGAGUGGAAUUCCACGUGUAGCGGUGAAAUGCGUAGAGAUGUGGAGGAACACCAGUGGCGAAGGCGACUCUCUGGUCUGUAACUGACGCUGAGGAGCGAAAGCGUGGGGAGCGAACAGGAUUAGAUACCCUGGUAGUCCACGCCGUAAACGAUGAGUGCUAAGUGUUAGGGGGUUUCCGCCCCUUAGUGCUGCAGCUAACGCAUUAAGCACUCCGCCUGGGGAGUACGGUCGCAAGACUGAAACUCAAAGGAAUUGACGGGGGCCCGCACAAGCGGUGGAGCAUGUGGUUUAAUUCGAAGCAACGCGAAGAACCUUACCAGGUCUUGACAUCCUCUGACAACCCUAGAGAUAGGGCUUUCCCUUCGGGGACAGAGUGACAGGUGGUGCAUGGUUGUCGUCAGCUCGUGUCGUGAGAUGUUGGGUUAAGUCCCGCAACGAGCGCAACCCUUGAUCUUAGUUGCCAGCAUUUAGUUGGGCACUCUAAGGUGACUGCCGGUGACAAACCGGAGGAAGGUGGGGAUGACGUCAAAUCAUCA
rnacentral:rRNA from 1 species